rnacentral:rRNA from 1 species
GUGGAUAACCUACCCUUAGGACCGGAAUAACCCCGGGAAACUGGGGAUAAUACCGGAUAAGCCAUAGACGCUGGAAUGCCCUAUGGUUCAAAGCUCCGGCGCCUAAGGAUGGAUCUGCGGUCUAUCAGGUUGUAGUGGGUGUAACGUACCUACUAGCCGACGACGGAUACGGGUUGUGAGAGCAAGAGCCCGGAGAUGGAUUCUGAGACACGAAUCCAGGCCCUACGGGGUGCAGCAGGCGCGAACACUUUACAAUGCGGGAAACCGCGAUAAGGGAACCCCGAGUGCCAGCAUCAAAUGUUGGCUGUCCGGAUGAUUAAAAAUCAUUUGUUAGCAAGGGCCGGGCAAGACCGGUGCCAGCCGCCGCGGUAACACCGGCGGCCCGAGUGGUAGCCGUUUUUAUUGGGUCUAAAGGGUCCGUAGCCGGCCUGAUAAGUCCUUUGGGAAAUCUGGCAGCUUAACUGUCAGGCUUCUAAGGGAUACUGUCAGGCUUGGGACCGGAAGAGGUAAGGGGUACUCCAGGGGUAGGAGUGAAAUCUUGUAAUCCCUGGGGGACCAUCUGUGGCGAAGGCGCCUUACCAGAACGGGUCCGACGGUGAGGGACGAAAGCUAGGGGAGCAAACCGGAUUAGAUACCCGGGUAGUCCUAGCUGUAAACGAUGCUCGCUAGGUGUCAGACACGGUGCGACCGUGUUUGGUGCCGCAGGGAAGCCGUUAAGCGAGCCACCUGGGAAGUACGGUCGCAAGGCUGAAACUUAAAGGAAUUGGCGGGGGAGCACUACAACGGGUGGAGCCUGCGGUUUAAUUGGAUUCAACGCCGGAAAACUCACCGGGUGCGACAGCAACAUGUAGGUCAGGCUGAAGGUCCUACCUGAAUCGCUGAGAGGAGGUGCAUGGCCGUCGUCAGUUCGUACUGUGAAGCAUCCUGUUAAAUCAGGCAACGAGCGAGACCCGCGCCCACAGUUGCCAGCAUGUUCUCUGGAACGGUGGGUACACUGUGGGGACCGCCGCUGCUAAAGCGGAGGAAGGAACGGGCUACGGUAAGUCAGUAUGCCCCGAAUCUCCCGGGCUACACGCGGGCUACAAUGGUUGGGACAAUGGGCACCUACCCUGAAAAGGGACGGUAAUCUCCGAAACCCACCGUAGUUCGGACUGAG